GGGGGUCCGAAAACGGUGGCAAAUCAGCCUUCCAAGCUGAAUACCCGGGUUCGAUUCCCGGUACCCGCUCCA
rnacentral:tRNA from 1 species